GAUGAAGAACGUAGCGAAAUGCGAUAAAUAAUGUGAAUUGCAGAAUUCCGUGAAUCAUCGAGUUUUUGAACGCACAUUGCGCCCCCUGGUAUUCCGGGGGGCAUGCCUGUCCGAGCGUCAUUACAACCCUCAAGCUCAGCUUGGUGUUGGGCCCCGCCGCCCCGGCGGGCCCUAAAGUCAGUGGCGGUGCCGUCCGGCUCCGAGCGUAGUAAUUCUUCUCGCUCUGGAGGUCCGGUCGUGUGCUCGCCAGCAACCCCCAAUUUUUUUCAGGUUGACCUCGGAUCAGGUAGGGAUACCCGCUGAACUUAAGCAUAUCAAUAAGCGGAGGA
rnacentral:misc_RNA from 1 species